rnacentral:lncRNA from 1 species
UCCAGAUGGGACCCUUCAGGGGAGGCACCCCAACUCGGUCACCAGUCUCUCCUGCUGACUUGGCAUUAGGGGCUCAGGCUGGUCACUGUCUGUCCUGUAACCUAGAAGGUGACAGUCUCCUCUGGAGCCAGAUAAUUUGUUUCUUUCCACCCAAAAGGAAUCCUCCCCAUUACACACACACACACACACACACACACACACACACACACAUUCGCACUUACUCACCCAUCAUCAUGGAAGAGGCCAGGAAAGAGGCAGGAGAGGACGCUGAGGGGGCUGAUGGAGAACAGGUACACAUUCACCACAUGGCCCACACUGUGUAAGACUAAGGAAGAGCAGACCAAGUGGUGAGCUUGGGGCAGCCCAGGGUGGGUGCUCACUCAUUCAGCCCAAGAUCGAGGACCCUGGCCAGAGUGGGGGUCCCAAAGAAGUACCUUAGGAGUCUCGACUUCUGACCUCUUUUUUUUUUUUUUUUUUUUUUUAGAUGGAUUCUCACUCUGUUACCCAGGCUGGAGGGCAGUGGUGCGAUCUCGGCUCACUGCAACCUCUGCCUCCCAGGUUCAAGCAAUUCUCCUGCCUCAGCCUCCUGAGUAGCUGGGAUUACCGGCAUGUGCCACCACACCCAGCUGAUUUUUGUAUUUUUGGUAGAGACGGGGUUUCACCAUGUUGGCCAGGCUGGUCUCGAACUCCUGAGCUCAAGUGAUCCGCCCGCCUCAGCUUCCCAAAGUGCUGGGAUUAGGGGCAUAAGCCGCCGCGCCGGCCUGGACUUCUGACCUCUAAACAAUCACCUGGCCCUACCCAACACCCCACAGACACACCAUCCAUGUGCGCAACCAUGUGAGUCUGAAAUUACAGCAUUAGAAGUUCACUCCUUUGCUUUCUCUCAGAGUCAUGCUUUAAAACAUAAAAAUUGGGAGAAUUGACACAUUAUGCACACUCAUUCUGGGGUGUUAGAAACUUGUCAGCUGAGGCUGGUGAGGCGCCCUGGAAAGUGUGGGAAGAGGCACUUGGCAGUGACCAGCGACAGGCUCCCGGGCUUACUUCACACCCUGGCCCAGGCCAACUCCAUCCUGAUGGAGAAGGACAUUAAAGGUACUCCACCUGGGAACAAGAAGCCAGACUCCUGCACAGUAACUAUCAUUUCCUGCCUCCUGACCCCAUGCUUCUUCCCCUCCACCUGGCUGCCUCCCUGGCCUUGGCUGUGGACAAGGAGCCAGAUGCCAGGUGAGCCAUACCAGGUCAUACUCCUUGGGGAUCUUGAGCAGCAGAGUGCGGCGUCCACGGUUGCUGGACAGGACGAGGUUGACCUUCUGUGGAGGCUGCAGCUGGAUGGUGCGGAGCACGGUGAGCCUGCCAUCUACCACACGGAUCUGCCCGGGCUGCAGGUACACAAGCACGGGCCGGCAGGGCUCCUUGUGGCCUUGCCAUUCCAAAGCUAGGGGGAGAGAGACAGGGCUUCGUCAGCUGGGACCCAUCAGAGGUACAUUGGGAGGAAGAGGGCCAGCUCAGGGCUGAAAUUAGAUCGAGGCCUCCACAGUUCAUUGUCCCCUUCUGGGGUACUGAGAGUCAUUCCCUCCCUGAAAGCCUGGCUGUGCCUCUAGCCCCAUGAAAAGAAUAGUAACUAUCAUUUCCUGAAUGUUUUCUAUGUGCUCAAUACUAUACCAAGUGCUUUGCAUGAAUUAUUUCAUUUAAU